rnacentral:rRNA from 1 species
UACGUAGGGGGCGAGCGUUAUCCGGAAUUACUGGGCGUAAAGCGCACGCAGGCGGUUCGCCAAGUUUGGAGUGACAGUUGUCGGCUCAACCGACAAAGGACUUCAAAAACUGGUGAACUUGAGGACGAGAGAGGAACAUGGAACUCCAGGUGUAGUAGUGAAAUGCGUAGAUAUCGGGAGGAACACCAGUGGCGCAAGCGGCUAACUGGCCGAGACCUGACGCUGAGACGCGACGGCGUGGGGAGCAAACCGG